GCCCGGCUAGCUCAAUCGGUAGAGCGUGUGACUCUUAUGAUUUCAAAGAUCUUCUGGUCCAUCACAAGGUUGCGGGUUCGACCCCCGCGUUGGGCU
rnacentral:tRNA from 2 species